UCCGGUUGAUCCCGCCGGAGGUUACUGCUAUCGAGGUUCGACUAAGCCAUGCGAGUCGAAUGUAGCAAUACAUGGCGUACUGCUCAGUAACACGUGGACAACCUACCCUUGAGACGGGGAUAAACCCGGGAAACUGGGUAUAAUACCCGAUAGAUCUCGACUGCUGGAAUGCAUCGAGCUCCAAAGCUCCGGCGCUCAAGGAUGGGUCUGCGGCCUAUCAGGUAGUAGUGGGUGUAGCGUACCUACUAGCCUACGACGGGUACGGGUUGUGAGAGCAAGAGCCCGGAGAUGGAUUCUGAGACACGAAUCCAGGCCCUACGGGGUGCAGCAGGCGCGAAAACUUUACAAUGCUGGAAACAGCGAUAAGGGGACCCCGAGUGCCAGGUUACAAAUCUGGCUGUCGUGAUGCCUAAAAAGCAUUGCAUAGCAAGGGCCGAGCAAGACCGGUGCCAGCCGCCGCGGUAACACCGGCGGCUCGAGUGGUAACCGUUAUUAUUGGGUCUAGAGGGUCUGUAGCCGGCCGGAUAAGUCUCUUGGGAAAUCUGGCAGCUUAACUGUCAGGCUUUCAGGAGAUACUGUCUGGCUCGAGGCCGGGAGAGGUGAGAGGUACUUCAGGGGUAGGGGUGAAAUCUUGUAAUCCUUGAAGGACCACCAGUGGCGAAGGCGUCUCACCAGAACGGACCUGACGGCAAGGGACGAAAGCUCGGGGUACGAACCGGAUUAGAUACCCGGGUAGUCCUAGCCGUAAACGAUACUCGCUAGGUGUCGGCCACGGUGCGACCGUUGUCGGUGCCGUAGGGAAGCCGUGAAGCGAGCCACCUGGGAAGUACGGCCGCAAGGCUGAAACUUAAAGGAAUUGGCGGGGGAGCACCACAACGGGUGGAGCUUGCGGUUUAAUUGGAUUCAACGCCGGAAA
rnacentral:rRNA from 1 species